rnacentral:rRNA from 1 species
GGGCCCGCACAAGCGGUGGAGCAUGUGGUUUAAUUCGAUGCAACGCGAAAAACCUUACCUACUCUUGACAUCCUUGGAAUGCUUUAGAAAUAAAGCAGUGCCUUCGGGAACCAAGUGACAGGUGCUGCAUGGCUGUCGUCAGCUCGUGUCGUGAGAUGUUGGGUUAAGUCCCGUAACGAGCGAAACCCCUUUUCUAUGUUGCCAGCACGUAAUGGUGGGGACUCUUAGAAUACUGCCGGUGUUAAAUCGGAGGAAGGUGGGGACGAUGUCAAGUCAUCAUGGCCCUUACGAGUAGGGCUACACACGUGCUACAAUGGGCAGUACAGAGGGUUGCGAAGUCGCGAGGCCAAGCUAAUCUCAGAAAGCUGCUCUCAGUCCGGAUUGGAGUCUGCAACUCGGCUCCAUGAAGUCGGAAUCGCUAGUAA